AGGAGGCGGCGGAGGAGGAGGCCGGUGCUCAUCGCAGUGUUCGGGGGCGGGACACGAAUCAGCUCCACUCACCACCUGCGUAGGGCUACACGAGAAGGAAUAAGACACCAGAGCCUCCUGGAACUCAGACGAGAUCAGCUAUCUGUGGCAGAGAAGAGAAAAGACAGAGCUGCAUCUUACCUGCUGACCUGGUCGGGAAGGGCUGUCUCCGGGCGGGCAGCGAAUCGCUAACUGAAUUGGACCCUGGAUUUUUGCACUGGCUCCAGCUCCAGGUUGACACAGUUCUGGAUCGUCUCGUCCCCGCCCUUGAAGGCUUUCCUUCCC